GCCAGAGUAGCUCAGCUGGAAGAGCGUCCGGCUGUUAACCGGACGGUCGGAGGUUCGAGUCCUCCCUCUGGCG
rnacentral:tRNA from 1 species